UACAGGGGGGGCAAGCGUUGUUUGGAAUUACUGGGCGUAAAGGGCUCGUAGGCGGCCAACUAAGUCCGACGUGAAAUCCCAAAGCUUAACUUUGGAACUGCGUCGGAUACUGGAUGGCUUGAAUUCGGGAGAGGGAUGCAGAAUUCCAGGUGUAGCGGUGAAAUGCGUAGAUAUCUGGAGGAAUACCGGUGGCGAAGGCGGCAUCCUGGACCGACAUUGACGCUGAGGAGCGAAAGCUAGGGGAGCAAACGGG
rnacentral:rRNA from 1 species